rnacentral:rRNA from 1 species
UACGUAGGGGGCAAGCGUUAUCCGGAUUUACUGGGUGUAAAGGGAGCGUAGACGGCAUGGCAAGUCUGAUGUGAAAACUUGGGGCUCAACCCCAAGACUGCAUUGGAAACUGUUAAGCUAGAGUGCAGGAGAGGUAAGCGGAAUUCCUAGUGUAGCGGUGAAAUGCGUAGAUAUUAGGAGGAACACCAGUGGCGAAGGCGGCUUACUGGACUGUAACUGACGUUGAGGCUCGAAAGCGUGGGGAGCAAACAGG